GUGUUAUAUAAAAGGAGAGAAGGUCAACACUCCCCUGUAGCCCGACAACACCUGCGUGGUGAAGGCAUUGCCACUGAUUUCAUGGCAUCUAACAGUAUUU
ensembl:snRNA